CCUACGGGUGGCAGCAGUGGGGAAUAUUGCGCAAUGGGCGAAAGCCUGACGCAGCGACGCCGCGUGAGGGAUGAAGGUCUUCGGAUCGUAAACCUCUGUCAGCAGGGAAGAACGGUCACUGUGCUAAUCAGCAGUGAAUUGACGGUACCUGCAAAGGAAGCACCGGCUCACUCCGUGCCAGCAGCCGCGGUAAUACGGAGGGGGCGAGCGUUAAUCGGAAUUACUGGGCGUAAAGCGCUCGUAGGCGGUAUGUCAAGUCAAGGGUGAAAUCCCCGCGCUCAACGGGGGAACUGCCUUUGAUACUGGCAAACUGGAGAGUGUGAGAGGAUAGUGGAAUGCCAGGUGUAGGGGUGAAAUGCGUAGAUAUCUGAAGGAACAUCAGUGGCGAAGGCGACUAUCUGGCACAUAACUGACGCUGAGGAGCGAAAGCGUGGGUAGCAAACAGGAUUAGAUACCCCAGUAGUC
rnacentral:rRNA from 1 species